AACGAACGCUGGCGGCAUGCCUAACACAUGUAAGUCGAACGAGACCUUCGGGUCUAGUGGCGCACGGGUGCGUAACGCGUGGGAACCUGCCCUUAGGUUCGGAAUAACUCCCCGAAAGGGGUGCUAAUACCGGAUAAUGUCUUCGGACCAAAGAUUUAUCGCCUUUGGAUGGGCCCGCGUUGGAUUAGCUAGUUGGUAGGGUAAAAGCCUACCAAGGCGAGGAUCCAUAGCUGGUCUGAGAGGAUGAUCAGCCACACUGGGACUGAGACACGGCCCAGACCCGAGGGGGCGGGGGGGAAGGGGGAAUAUGGGGAGGGGGCGAAACCCAGCUACGCCAAGUGCGGGUGGGUGGUGAAGGGCUUGGGGUUGAAAAGCUCUUUUCCCGGGGGGUAUAAUACGGGAGCCGGGGAAAAAGACCCGGCUAAAUCCGUG
rnacentral:rRNA from 1 species